UACGUAGGUGGCAAGCGUUUGUCCGGAAUUAUUGGGCGUAAAGCGCGCGCAGGCGGUCCUUUAAGUCUGAUGUGAAAGCCCACGGCUCAACCGUGGAGGGUCAUUGGAAACUGGGGGACUUGAGUACAGAAGAGGAAAGCCGGAAUUCCACGUGUAGCGGUGAAAUGCGUAGAGAUGUGGAGGAACACCAGUGGCGAAGGCGGCUUUCUGGUCUGUAACUGACGCUGAGGCGCGAAAGCGUGGGGAGCAAACAGG
rnacentral:rRNA from 1 species